GAGAUGGUGGUAUAGUGCUGAGCAUAGCUGCCUUCCAAGCAGUUGACCCGGGUUCGAUUCCCAGCCAUCGCA
rnacentral:tRNA from 14 species